CAACAUUCUCUCUGUUUGAUUUUGGAAAUUUGACACUAAUUUCAAUUUUAUUCACAUCCAAUUGUUGUGUAUAUGCUGUCUUUUGCUUGUAUCAACUGUAAUGCAACUGAAGGAUACUUAGCCAAAAAGAUCAAGGACAUUGCUGGAGAAUACCGCUGAAAUUCUCUAGAUAACACUAUAUGAAUGGCCACCAAAGUUAACAUCUCGUAUAGCUGUAAGGACAACACCUUCUAUGUAAAACAAGAACGAUGCUGUGACUCUUCUGUGAACAAUUUCAAUCAUAUUAUGGUGACUACAUCCCAUAUUCAAUACCCAUGUUCAGGCAAAUUGUAGUUCAUCUGGACAUCGUAGAAUGACUACUGGCUCGAAUAAAGAAAAAUAAAGUGCUAUCUGUGAGAAACCCAUUAUUCCACUUAAAUGCUAAGCAGAUACAUACUAUGGAUGUCACAAUAGACACAGUGUAACCAGUCAAUAAAUUGUUGAAAUAAGA